GUCGCCGGCCCAAACAUGUCAUGUCAAUCCGACUAUAACCCUCCAUCUAACUCACAUCCACCUCACGCGCCGCCUCUUAAACCUCAUCUCUCACCCUCCUCCGCCGUCUCACCGCCUACUGCCACUACUCACCGAUCUUCCGACGGAAACUCCACCACCAGCCAUCAAUCAGAAACUGCCGCCACUGCUUCCAUGGAUGACAAUGGCGUAGCACCGCCGCUAGAACUACGACGACCGCCACCACCACCGCCACCACAUCCUCCUAGGAACACGUCAUUCCCGGUCAGGGAAGAUUGCUGGUCGGAGGAGGCAACGUUUACGCUAAUCGAGGCUUGGGGAGAUAGAUACGUUGAACUUAACCGUGGUAAUCUCCGUCAGAAACAUUGGCAGGAAGUAGCCGACUCCGUCAACGCCCGUCACGGCCAUACGAAGAAAGCUCGCCGGACUGAUAUACAGUGUAAGAACCGAAUCGACACUCUUAAGAAGAAGUACAAGGUUGAGAAGUCUAAGGUUUUGGAGUUAGGUGCUGAUAACUACGUUUCUCCAUGGCCGUUUUUCGCACCGCUUGAUUCCCUGAUCGGUUCCUCCUUCAAACCCUCCACACAGACACCGACACCACCGCCUCAACGUAAACGGAUCUCGACUCCGCCGUCACUCCCCGCACUUCCUCCUCCGCCCUCAUCGGUCCCUGUCGGCCCGCGAUCGAAACGUCCGGCACCGCCAGCCUACCAACCGUCGACUGACAGUUCGUUUUUCCGGCGUAAUUUCUCCGUGAUGGCGGCGGCCGCUGCUGCAAUUGACGGUGCUGAGGACUCUGAUACGUCCUGGUCAAGCGGUGGUAAUGGGCCACGGCGGUUGCGGAUGCAGAAGGCUGAUAACACCGGUGGCGAUCCGUAUCAUCAACUGGCUGAGGCGAUUGCAAGGUUUGCAGAGGUGUAUCAAAGGGUGGAAGAAGCCAAACAAAAGCAGAUGGUUGAAUUAGAAAAGCAUCGGCUGCAAUUCACCAAGGAUUUAGAGCUUCAGAGGAUGAAACUAUUGAUGGAAUCUCAGUUGCAGCUGGUGAAGAUGAAGCGUUCAAAAAGGAAUCCAGAGCCCGGCUACGGACAAGAAGGCUGUGAUUGAGAUACAGACGAGUUAGGAACUAAAAGACUCUGCUCCCCGGUCUCGCUCGGGUGAUGCCACGGGUCAUCACCCCCUUGCACGCAAGGAAGUGGGCAUGCCAGCUGAAGAAGGUGGCUCUAUACCAGAUGGAAUUGGAAAGUGAUUUUUGUAGAAGCGAUGAUGAAGGAGAUCACUCGGCCAGCAUCAGUUAGAGGUUUUUGGAAGAUUUGAUAGCUUUUGUGUUUAUAAGAAGAUGGUAGAUGUGGGUGCAAUGUUUAGGGUUAGGGUUAGGGUUGAGAGUUUUGUGAAGCUUGUGUUUAUUAUGUUGUGAAGGAAG